AGAUGUCCAACCGCUUCCAAGGUCCUCAGACUGGACAAGCCUGAACACAAACGGGAGAAGCAUCACUGGCGUAAAAGAUCAACAGUACUUGAGCCUGUCAACUGUCUUCCCUGAGUGGAUGCCGAUUCAGGUUCUCCGGGGCGAACAGCCGCUUUGGCGCCGCCUAGUGGACACGAGCAGAAAGACACCAUUAGUACAGGAUGUUAAAUGUACCUUUUUAAACUGUCCAGAGAGACAUUCGUCCCAGUGCAGCUUUGGGGGAACCUGCAAAAGAUAAAAUGUGUCAAAAAUGGUCACGUCAGCCAUUUUGCUUUGCAGCGUGCUCAAACCCAGCAGACACCAACAGCUUCAUUCACUGUCGUCUUGUUCCUCAGGCAGCUCUGGAUGAAGUCAGGAUGCCGUUUCACCUGCGCACACACAAAAAAGAUGUCGGAAAAGAACGAAUUGAAGUCAUUUACGAUGUCCUUCCCUUCCUCCAGUUUUGUCCAGCAGCAAAACAGCAACUUGAGGCCAGACUCAACCUGCAGGGUGCCGUCGACGGCGCCAACUUUGACAAUCCUCCCCUCAACUUGAAAGAUUUCAG